CAGUAGCCACGGUAAUACAGAGGGUGCGAGCGUUAAUCGGAUUUACUGGGCGUAAAGCGUGCGUAGGCGGCUUCUUAAGUCGGAUGUUAAAUCCCUGAGCUUAACUUAGGAAUUGCAUUCGAUACUGGGAAGCUAGAGUAUGGGAGAGGAUGGUAGAAUUCCAGGUGUAGCGGUGAAAUGCGUAGAGAUCUGGAGGAAUACCGAUGGCGAAGGCAGCCAUCUGGCCUAAUACUGACGCUGAGGUACGAAAGCAUGGGGAGCAAACAGGAUUAGAUACCCGCGUAGUCCCUGUCUCUUAUAC
rnacentral:rRNA from 1 species